ACAUUGUGCAUUGGGGAUGUUGAAAAAAUGAAGAUUCCAAAAAUAAAAAUCUUCCUCAUUUAUUGAUGCGGAGCAGAAGCUAUAAAACAAUAGUGGCGAUGAAGAGAUGUUUUGAAAGCUUAAUAGAGAGAAGCGUGAUGAAGACGUGGGCUCUGUUUCACGAAUGGAGAGAGAGAACACGAGAACCACGGAACAAAACGAAGAAAAUUGCAAAUGGAAUAAGGUGAGAGUCCUCCUUAAGGUCCUACACAA